rnacentral:rRNA from 1 species
AGAGACAGCAGUCGCCGCGGGAAUGCGUAGGGUGCAAGCGUUAAUCGGAAUUACUGGGCGUAAAGCGUGCGCAGGCGGUUCGUUAAGACAGAUGUGAAAUCCCCGGGCUUAACCUGGGAACUGCACUUGUGACUGGCGGGCUAGAGUAUGGCAGAGGGGGGUAGAAUUCCACGUGUAGCAGUGAAAUGCGUAGAUAUGUGGAGGAAUACCGAUGGCGAAGGCAGCCCCCUGGGAUAACACUGACGCUCAUGCACGAAAGCGUGGGGAGCAAACAGGAUUAGAUACCCCAGUAGUCCCUGUCUCUUAUAC